rnacentral:lncRNA from 1 species
UUUUUUAAUUCUGAUUUUUCAUUUAAUCCAUUAUUUCGUUUAAUUCAUAUCAAUUUCAUUUUUUAUCCAAAAAAUAUGGGACUUCACCAAAAAUCUUUAAAUAUUUUCCUCUUCCAUAUUUUGAAUUAAAAUCAUUUUUUGGAUUAAUUUUGAUAUUUUUCAGGAAUUAAAUGAUUCUUGACUUGUUUUAAAUAUUUUAAAAAUACUUAUGACUUUCCAAAAAUUAUGAAUGUUUUUGUCUAAUG